GUGGUGGGCAUACACCUGCAUCAAGCCAUAUAGGUAACAUUGGUGGUCAGGAGGGGCUUUUGGGAGAACAUGAUAACUGAAUGAGUCCUAAGCCUGAAUGAGGCCAGGCUGGUAAGAGGUCUUAUGGCAACUGGGAAGGCAUGUCUUUCUAACCAGAGGGAUCCUCAUACUCAAAAGCCUAUGGGUGAGGGUGAGUGAGUGAUUUUCUAGAGAUGCAAAUGAGUUAAGAAGGCCAGGAAGGAGAUAGCAAAUUGAGAAAGCACAGAGCCUGGAAUCUGUUCCUGAAGAGCCCUAUAAAACCUGGUAAGGAGUUUUGCCUUGACCCUUAAGGUGGGAAGCUAUUUUAAGCAGAGGAGUACCUUGAUGAGAUCUAUAUUUCAGAAAGACCAGCAAAACACCUAAUGGGACAUUAGAGGGUUUUCAAUAAAACUUUGUCAGGUACUUCUGGCCAAGGGUUGGAACUGGCACCAAUGUGUGGGCCAGAGAGCAUAGCUGUACAAGAGACAUACGGGGUUGUGGCUAAAGAAGUAGAAGCAAGGUAGUUCUACUACGCAUUCCUCCCUUUCCUCCUUACCACAUACUCAAGCCUGCCUUGCAAUACAGUUCUACCAGAAUAUGGUCAACUAUGUCUCUGUUUUAAAAUGUCUCCACUUCCGCAAGAGUAACGAUACUCUUUUCCUCUUUGUCUUUACAGAUCUGUCAUUGAGAGCGUGGAUUUUCCACAGGUCCAUCUCCCCAGAUAACUGGUUUUGUUGCAGGGGGCCAGCUGCUGCCAGUGCGCUCAGCAUGGAGGGCACAACUGUGGAUUCAGAACUCGAGGAGAGCAGAUGGGCGGCCUCUCAGCAUCUUGAGGAUGGCUGCCAAUUUGGGUUUGUGCUGCCAUUUGAUCUAUUUUUUUUCUCCUGAUGCUCAUAUUAUGCAAUGCGCGGAGCAGCAUGGUGUCUGGGAGAGAGCACCAGACCAGGAGGGCCAGUUCGGUUUCCCGAGGGUGCUCCUAGUUGCUCUUCACAAAGAUUGGAGCUCCACUCUGCAUUAUGUCCCCUGUUAACUGCAGCAGUCCCCAAGCCCUGCCCUAGAAGAGCUCACAGUCCCAUGGGAGACAGGCCAGUAAACAAUCACCAUGCACUGUUGCAAAUGCAAUAAGAGCACAGAGCCAGGGAAGCGCUAUUCACGGAAGACUUCCAGGAGGAGGUGAUGCCUCAGCAGAGAAUGAAAAGUAAAUAAAAAGAGCACCUGCCAGAUGGAGAGAACA
rnacentral:lncRNA from 12 species